GACGAACGCUGGCGGCGUGCUUAACACAUGCAAGUCGAACGGAAAGGCCCUGCUUUUGUGGGGUGCUCGAGUGGCGAACGGGUGAGUAACACGUGAGUAACCUGCCCUUGACUUUGGGAUAACUUCAGGAAACUGGGGCUAAUACCGGAUAGGAGCUCCUGCUGCAUGGUGGGGGUUGGAAAGUUUCGGCGGUUGGGGAUGGACUCGCGGCUUAUCAGCUUGUUGGUGGGGUAGUGGCUUACCAAGGCUUUGACGGGUAGCCGGCCUGAGAGGGUGACCGGCCACAUUGGGACUGAGAUACGGCCCAGACUCCUACGGGAGGCAGCAGUGGGGAAUAUUGCACAAUGGGCGGAAGCCUGAUGCAGCAACGCCGCGUGCGGGAUAACGGCCUUCAGGUUGUAAACCGCUUUCGCCUGUGACGAAGCGUGAGUGACGGUAAUGGGUAAAGAAGCACCGGCUAACUACGUG
rnacentral:rRNA from 1 species